CACUACGAGACACAAACUCGCGCAACUUUCCACGUAAGCACGUGUGACUGUCGCAGCAGUUUGGUGGCGGACACCUUGCGUUCCCUGUCAGUGGUAUGAAGUAUGAAGUAAUACGGCUGUGGAAAACAAGAUGGCUCUGAAAUCUGCCAUUUUGUUUGUAUCAACUGAGAAAUAGUAAACAUCACUGAAGAAGCAGAGAAUGAAUGUAUUCAAAUCAAUGCUGUGUUCUGUGUUGAAGAUGAUAAUCUUGUCUAUUUUUUUCACGCAGGGCAUGUGUUAUUAUUUGUUGGAUAAAUACUCUUUUCUUUAUUUUAAAUGAUUUUCUUCAUGAAAAUUAUCCAAGGAUUACAUGAAUAAUGUAUUCGUGCUCUCUUUUUAUACUGUAUUAUUAUUAUUUAACUAACAAAUACAUUGUAGCUAUACAUAUAAAAUUAUUUAAAAAAUAAAAAUAUCUGGCUACUAUAACUAAAACUAUAAAUUGAUUUAUUAGAAGUAUGUUAUAUAAUAACAUUGACAUCAUUUUCAAAAAUAAUAUGUAAUAUUUUACGAACUAUGCAUUGUUGAAAUUAUUCACAACGUUAUUUAUGAUUAAUUAAAUAAAAAAUACAAAUCCAAAUAAAA